AACGUAGGAGGCGAGCGUUAUCCGGAGUUACUGGGCGUAAAACGCGCGCAGGCGGACUGGUAAGUGACGUGUGAAAGCGCCCGGCUAAACUGGGCGAGGACAGGUCAGACUGCCAGGCUCGAGGCUGGUAGAGGGGUGCAGAAUUCCGGGUGUAGCGGUGAAAUGUGUAGAGAUCCGGAGGAAUACCAGUGGUGCAGACGGCGCCCUGGGCCAGACCUGACGCUGAGGCGCGAAAGCGUGGGGAGCGAACGGG
rnacentral:rRNA from 1 species